rnacentral:rRNA from 1 species
UACGGGGGGAGCAAGCGUUGUUCGGAAUUACUGGGCGUAAAGCGUGCGCAGGCGGUUUCUUAAGUCAGAUGUGAAAUCCCCGGGCUCAACCUGGGAACUGCAUUUGUGACUGCAAGGCUAGAGUACGGUAGAGGGGGAUGGAAUUCCGCGUGUAGCAGUGAAAUGCGUAGAUAUGCGGAGGAACACCGAUGGCGAAGGCAAUCCCCUGGACCUGUACUGACGCUCAUGCACGAAAGCGUGGGGAGCAAACAGG